UUGAUGCGGCAACGACACACGUGGGCGAGGAGGCAACAGCGACGGCACGUUAAUCGACUUUUCCCCCUCCCCCUCUCUCUGCAUGGGUGCGAGACAGUUUUCGGUGACCGUGCAUCGGCGGCACUUGCGCUUGACGGAAUCUAUCUUUCUCUUUGCUUUGGUGCGUGUGUCGCGGCUUCUACCCCGCGCGCUCGGGUUGUUGUUCUCCCACCGCCUCAUCCCCUUGUGCAUCCCCCUUACCGCAUUACCAACGCACCGGUGUGUGUGCGUGCGCCGGUGCAUCAGCGCUAGUCGCUCCCCGUACUACCCUCCCUUUCUGUGUCUGUUUCGGGUCGUUCACCCGCCACAGAGUUUCGUCUGGCGUCAUCCACGCCUACCUUUUCUCGUUUCUUUCUGUAGACCGCGCGCGUGCGCUCCUGGACUCGUCUUCGUUUUCCUCAUUCUGCGCAGAUGUCCGGGCGCUCGUACGCGGAGAUCAUGUCGCGGCCGUCGGCGCUCCGCAAACCGCUUCUCUACACACCGGCAUCGUCGACAGGGAGGCCGACAUCGUCCCCGCGACGACGGCAGCGGCAGCCGCUGCAAACACGCGGGUCUGCCUCGACCAUCGCCGACUCCCCUAGGCGUCUCAUCUCGUACUACUUGUCCAAGGCUGCGUACAACACGCGCGCGGAGGAGAACAGAGGCGACGGCGUCGCAUCCGCUACCGCCAGCGACGGAGAUGAUGCUGUGGACGAACGGACGAAAGGCGCCGAUUACGACCAAGGCGCCGUUGCGCAUGAGCUACAAACGCCGCCGUCGUACUUCUCAGAGCCUCUCCGGUCUUCGCCGUUCUGGAGCAUGCAAAGCAACACUGGCACCUCAGUAACCGCCUCACCUCCCUCUCCGCGCCGCCGCCCGACCACUGCCGUGGCGCCGUCUACGUCAGGCACCGUCAACAUGGCCACCACCAUCCAGCAAGCGGAGAGAAGCAACGGCCGCAGUGAGGGGCCGACACUGGUGGAGCUGCGCACCCCACUGCCACCAGCACCGACAGCAAACUUGCCGCCAUCUGCGGCGCCGGCGUCGCUCCGUGCCACUCCGACGUCCCCCGUAUCGCAGCUCGCCGUGUACACGGAGGAGCAACGCCGCGUGUUCGAGGCACAGGUGAUGCAGCAGGUGGAGGCACUCCUUCAGGCGCAGCAGAGCGAAUGUCGCGCCGAACUGGAGGCGUAUCGUGUGACGGCCGCAGAGGCCCAGGCCACGCUUCAGGCAGUGGAGGCGGCCUUGGGAGAGCAGAUCAGCGAUAUACAGCGCAGCAACAGCGGCAAAGUUGAAGGCGCCAGUACAGACGUGAGCGACCGUCGCGAUGACUGUGCUUCGGCCGGCAGGCCCUCUUCCACACCGGAAGCGCUGCCUCCGCGGUCGCUAGCUCUAUCAGUGGAUGCACUGGCUUUCGAGAUGUCCCGCGUCGCCGCCGCGGCGGUGACGCCGGCCACAGAGAAGCUGCUCGACGGUAUCAUGAGCAUUCAAGACGGCCAGCACGUUCCGACGGUGCUACAGAGGGUUAUGGAGCAACUCUACCAUGACCUCGCGCGCGCGCUGGUCCCAGCAGUCAUGGACUUUGUGAGCCAGCAGCAGCAGCAGCUGCUGCACGAGGAAUGGACUUCCGCGGCAAUUAAGACCCAUGCGUCAGUUGCCCAUGCGACGCGCAACGAUGCACCGUGCGACGUCGAUGAACUACUGCGCGCGCAGGCAGAGGUGGCAGCACUUCAGGAGGAGGUCCACGCACUGCGUCGUACGCUGCGUGGCCGAGACUCUGGCUUCACCAGCAACGACGCCAGUUCCACUGGUGGCCUUGCCCCCUCCACGUUCUCCAUCAUGACGCCCAACGCACAGAAGCACCGCUCGCAGGAUGAGCUGGUCUAUGCGUUACAGAAUCGCCUGCUUUCCGAGUGCCAUGCCAUGCUAACGCGCAGCCACCACGAGGCGCUCUUGCUGCGCCGCUCGCUGGAGGAGGAGAAGCGUCAGCACUUUCUGACGCGCCUGCGCCUGCUGAAGCCUACACAUCCUCUCGCACCACAUAGAUCGAGCACUGCUGCCUCAACCGCUGCCUCUGCUUCUGGCCAUGUUCGGUCUCACAAUGCCCCUGCUAGCUUACGGGUGUACCUCGGCGGCAGCGGCGGCGUUGAUGUGCCUCCCGGGUCACACAGCGGUAGUGUUUCUUCGCCUGUGAUGAAUGGCUCAUCGGCAACGCGCAGCCCGACUUCAUCCAUUCCCGAUGCCGGCGGCUCUCCUCACUCGCAAGCGCACACGACAGCCAGGCAGUCGGCGGGCCCCUUAAUCAGUGCCGCGCAUACAACAGCCCCACGUCGCUGGACUCCCGUGCACAGCCCGCUUCCGCUUGCAUCUGACAGCGGAGGGGCAGUCGAGCACGACAGAGACGGUGAUGCGGGGGACAAUGCUCCUGCGGAGCAGCCACCUGCGCCGCAGCACAUGUCCUCGCCGCCAUCUCAGCUACUAUUCACGGACCCUAGCCGCGCAGCGCCACGCACUGCGGCAUCUCUUCAGACUGCCAUGCGAGUCGCAGAUGAGGUACUGAGCACGACAGCACCCGCUACGCACACCGCCAGAGAACCAGCCCAUCCGUAUUAUCGGGAAGAGGGAGGCGGCGUUACGGGGACUUGGCAACGCGGCCGCGGUAGCGGGGAUGUGAGCGAGGUCCCUCAGGAGAAUAGAGGCAGAGCCCUGUCUUCUCGGCAACGCGGAGAGCCUCUUGGGCAGCCGCCACGCGUGCGGGAGCAUUCUGUGUCUUUCCUCGAUUCCUCUGACUCUUUCAAGGAGGACGUGCGCUGUAAAGCACCGUCACUCAUGUCUGAGAGUCCGACAGGCGUCGCAUCACGCGGUGGGCCUUCUAGAUUGUCCUCCACCCGCGUGGUGGGCAGACACGACAGCAACAUGAGCACUGGCAUGGCCCCGAUGCCGAGCUCCACCCUUGCAAGGCCGUGGGACGGCUUGGCUGCUGCCGCAGAAGCCGCGCCGGCGCCGCCCAGUGACGCUUACGAGAGACGAGUCUGGAAAAAGACAGUGGAACUGCUGAGCCGCUACUCCAUCGCGUAGAGGGAGGUUGCGGGCGGGCGUGUGCGCGAGGGUGUGGCGGCCACUCACAGGCGCAUGAGCACGCACAGGCGCGAGGUCGCGUGCACCAAUGCACCAACACGGUCCACAAGACGACGAAGAACGAGGAGAAAGUGUCGACGUUUGGCGCUCUGUUUCUUGUUGCUCUCUCUGCUUGAUUGACUCCCAUAAGAACAACGGCAACGACUUGCGGCGUCUCGCUCCGUCGUCUCGGGAGGCUUCCUGGUCUCCACAUCUCUUCAAACCUUAGAGGGAGAGAGCAGGAGGCGAUGCUCUCCAUCGGAGAGGUGAGUGUGCGUGUGUGUGUGGGGGGGGUGCGCCGGAGUGGCUGCAUUCGUAUUAGCACUUCUCUGCCCCAGCCAUUCAUCCAUGCAUUCGAACAGCCGCAGCCGUGCCGACACGGUGACGGCUCUCUCGCGUUUAGCUACGAAGCGCUUUUCCCCAACAACAAAGUUAGUCCUCUUUUCCCCUCUCUUCUUGCAACCUCUUUGCCCUCCGAUCCUGUGAUGCCUCCGGCGCACCUCGGCUCCCGCGCAUGUGCGUGUGUGUGCGUGCAUGACCGGACCUUUCGUUUCCCUCUCUCUACUCUCUUGUGUCCCUCUUGUGCAAACAUCUGUUUAUUCAUUCGCAGACUGCACAACCGCAGCAACCGUUGUAGUGGUCCUUGUGGCUGGGUGCGAAUCCAGCGUCGCCUAG
rnacentral:misc_RNA from 1 species